GAAAGGGAGAGGCUGUUAUGUUUGGCGCCUGUGGAGGGAGUCAUUCCUGCAGCUGCACUUCCGGUCGGCAUUUUGUUCUGAGGGAGCGAGAAAGGCAUACACACAGGAUCCGAUUCUAUCUUAUCUUAUCCUAUUCUAUCCUUUCUCUUUUCUUCCCAACCCGCCACCCCUAUCUCCUCUCGGUACCGAUUCACCCUGCCUAGGCGGUCCCCUCCCCCGCCCUCUUGCACUUGCACGCAGAGGCGGCCCCCUUGUCAGCACUACUCCCGCCCCUUCGCGGCUCGGACUGUGCGUCGGAACCAGUUCAGCCUGGCCCAUGUUGAUACUGUGAAGCAGGCUCAGGGGGAAGGGAUUUGUCUUGGUCGCUCACCGCUUGGCUCUACAUGUUCGCUGCACUGAGGAGGAGGCGGAAGAGGAACUAGCUCCCCUCCCGGCCCGGAUUAUUGUUGUUAUAUUAUCUCCCCUCCUCCUCCUGCUCCGCGGUGGUGGCUCGGCAGCGGCUCCUCUGAGGAGGGAGGGAGUGGAUUUUUCUCCCCCUUUUCGAUUCUCGUUGGAUUCAGACGACGAUUUGUUCAGGGCAAGGAAGUAAGAUCCCAGUGCAGACAGCCCUCUGAGCUGAGGAAGGAGUAAGUGGAGGGGUAGGAGAAAAGAGGUAAUGUAAAUAUCGUCACUAUUCUCUUCACCUUCUGACAAACUCCGUUCUGAAUAUUCAAAUGUUCAGUUGGACAAAUGUUUGAUCUUUAAAUAAGAUAGUGAUUGAUUAGUCUGUUAAUAAAUUUGUAUGUUUAUAGUAUAAAACCUAGAUUUUGUGGGGAUGUUGGCACAACACAGGUACCUGCAGACACAGGAAAUACAGAUAGACAAGCAUAUUGUGUCAGGCUUCCACACAGUCAUGUUUAUGUGCUGUAGGUGUUACAGGAACGUGUACUGAAAUCAGAAGAAAUACUAUGUUUUGUAGCAAACAGAAAAUGGGAAAGGGGUCAUGUGUGAAGUAGUACAUUUAUGACAUUUCAGGGGUCAAGAUAAAGAUGAGAUCUUACCUGAAGUUCUUGGGAAUUGAACAUGAAUUUAAUUAAGUGAAAAGUGAGAAAUGUUUAAAAAACUUUCUGUUCUUGUCAGACUUGAGGUUGUUAUUGGCCUUUUGUGUCCAUUAUGUUUUAAGUUGCCACUUUAACAGGUCAAAUGUGUUUUGUAAAUGACUGUUAAGUAUCAAGUCUUCACAAAUAAGUGGUAGCUAAUUUUCAAUUAAGUAAAUCUUGGACUUACUGUGUGGUAGAGUGUGAACUAAUAAAAAUACUCCUCCAGAAAUUACGUAAUUGAGGGAAAUUUUAAGAUACCAAGUUUCAUCUUUCAUAUAGAAAGGAAAUUAUAAAUGACAAACAAGUAUCAAUAUCUUAUAAUUUGUCUUUUCAAGUAGAUUUUUGACUUGUUCAGGCAGAUCUGUUAUAAUAAUAAGUGGCUAUUGUAUCUGAGAAAAUAACUUUCUGGGGUAUUGUGUUUAGAGUCUUAAAAACUGCUUUCAUGCCUCUGAGUGCCUUUAUAAGUGUUUAAAGGGUGAAGUUAAUAUAGCUGUCACUUGAAAAGUAUCAUUUUAAUGAUGUAAAUCCAUGUAGAAGUCAGUAGUGUGUCUGUGAUUUGUAUUGGUCAGGGAGCAGUUUGAAUUUUUAAAAGCCUGUGGAUCCUGCUGAGCCUCAAUCUCAGCUUCCCUUCCUCCCUCCUGCUAAUCUCCCAUUCCUGUCUUUGUGCUGCCUGGUCCUGUUAACGGGGUCUCAGGCCUACAUGCACGGAGAAGCAGCAUUUACACUUCAAAAAAACAGCUUUUUAUUUUUAAACUUUAUUAAUUGCAGAGGGAGCCACUAGUUGUCUCAGAAUGUCCCUAUCACCAUGCGUAGCUGAAUUACUGUUUUCUUUUGGUUGGUAACAUGUAUAGGGGCUGAGCGUAAUUCUGCUUUACAGGAAAGAAAGGACUGUGCAGAAAUAGUUGGGUAGUAUUCAUCAUCAGGAAGCAACAUUAGCUGUAACAUUUCAUUGUUUAAAAUAACUCUUGUUUUAAUAAAAAUGCUUAUAUUAAACUAAGAGUAGUGAACUUUCUGACUUAUGUUUCAUUUAAGAUUUGAUUUAAAUAUAUGAGAGAUGAGCAGGAAAUGAGCUACUGUAGUUACAUAGUUCCUGUCAAGUUUGUCUUUUCAGGUUUGUAUUUAUGAUUUUUUUUCUUUUAUCAAGUAUGCACUUGAUAAAUGCACCUAUUUUUAAUAUCAUAAAAGGGAAAUUUAGGAUGCUGGCUAUUUGUGAUUUAUAAUGUUUGUUUUUGUUCUUUUGAGCCGUAUAUGAGUAAUUAUAUUACUAAAACAAUUUGCAGAUCCUUGUUUUGUAUGAGCGCAACUUCAUUACAUGUUUGGGACUCCAUGAACAGUCAUGUUCAUAUGAUUUCUUGCAGAAUCAAGGCAAGAUGUAGUAAUGUCUUUGAGUUGCAACCAUGCUUUUUGUUGUUUGUAUGAUUAUGAAGAUAAUGCAGCCUUAAUGGUUAGUGUAUAUAAUCCUCUAUAAUAUAAAUAAACUGUAUUUUGAAGGAUACGAGAUUAAAUAUAUAUAGUGAAUUAAUUUGAGCCAGGGAUUGGUGUAACUAGUUAGCAAAGUUAGUGGACAAUUGCUAGUAACUAGAAGGAGAAAUUAUACUUUGAUUUUGAAUAUUUAGAUCUAAGAAGAAAUUGUUUUCAAAUUCAGAACUAUAUGCUUUCUAGAAAUUAUUCUAUAGGAAUAUAUUCUGCGUUUAUCAGUGUGUGGACAUUUAGACAGAUUAUGGAAAUAAUUAGAAAAAUAUGAGUUUGGAUAACUUUAGAGUUUGGCGUCUGGUAGGUAUGAGAUGGAUCUUCCAGUGUUAUAAUAGCUAUUUACUGACACAAAAUACGUAAUUAGAAAUAUUUACCAUUUGAAAAAAAAAAAAAAACCUGUUCAUUUCAGUAUGAUGCAACCUACUUUCAGUCUUCCAUUUAUAAGUGCCUUUAUUAGAAGCAGUGCAGGUUAGGUUAGCUUCUGAUUUUGAAUAAUCAGCAGUAAGGAGCACUCAGUUGCAUGGGAAAAAAGCUUACAAGGAAAAGUUUGAAAUUGGUGAUACAGAGUUAUUACCAGUAAUAUACAGAUAUAGUAAUUGAAAAAGGAAGUCCUUUUGUAAUGACAGUAUUAUAAAACCUUUUAAUACAAUUCAUCUAUAUUUAUGUUAAUAUUUUAUUAGCAUUAGAACUAUAUUUAGUAGAUGAUCCUGACCUGCAAAGUAUGUGGGAGAGAAAUGCUUUAUAUUGAUGUCUUUUAUACCCAAGGAGUGAGGCAAUUGUGUUUGAGGAGUUUGUGCAGGACCCAUGAUUUGUGUCACACUUCCUGUACCAACUGUUCACCGUGGAAAAUCUCAAUAGCAACAAGGAUGGGAGAAAGGAUUUUGAUCAAGCUGUGUGUAGAAGCUAAAAGGAAUUCCAGUCAAAUUGAAUUUAGUUGUUGGCGCUGUACUUGAAGGUGACUACUUGGUUUACACAAAUAACAUUUUAAAAAACAUGAAAAAUAUUCUUCACUGUUUAUGUUAAAGUGUUUCAGUCAGAACAAUUUGUAGAAUAUUAUUUUUAUUGCUUUUAAUAUUUGUCAGUUGGCUCUAAGUGUUGUUUUUCUUAAAUCGUGUAGAAUCACAGAGUCAUAGGGGUUGGAAGGGACUUCGAGAGAUAAUUUAGUCCAACUCCCCUGCUAAAGCAGGUUCCCUACAGUGAGUUACACAGGAAGGUGUCCAGAUGGGUCAUGAAUAUCUCCGUAGAAGGAGAACCCACAACCUCUCUGGGCAGGCUGUUCCAGUGCUCUGUAACCCUCAAGGUAAAGAAGUUCUUCCGCAUGUUUGUAUGGACCUUCCUGUGUUCCAGUUUUUUGCCUGUUGCCCCUUGUUCUGUUGCUGGGUGCUGUUGAAAAGAGCCUGCCCCCAUCCAGUUGGCUCCUGCUCAUCAGAUAUUUAUAUGCAUUGAUAAGAUCACCUCUUAGCCUUCUCUUCUCCAAGCUGAAGAGUCCCAGGGCUCUCAGCUGUUCAUCAUAUGGGAGGUGCUCCAGGUCCCUCAUCAUCUUUGUGGCCCUCAGUUGGACUCUCUCUAGGAGACCCUUUUUUGAACUGUUGAGCCCAGAACUAGACACAGUAGUCUAAAUGUGGCCUCACCAGGGCAGAGUAGAGGGGGAGGAUCACCUCCCUUGACCUGCUGGCCAUGCUCUUUGAUAUGCACCCCAGGAUCACAUUGGCCUUCUUGGCCACAAGGGCACACUGCUGGCUCAUGGCCAGUCUGUUAUCCACCAUGAUCCCCAGGUCCUCUCCAGCAGGUCAGCCCCUCCUCUGUACUGAUGCAUGUGGUUAUUCCUCCCCAGGUGUAAGACUGUACACUUGCUCUUAUUUGAACCUCAUCAAAUUCCUCCCUGCCCAACUCUCAGCCAGUCCAGGUCAUGCUGAAUGGUAGCACAGCCUUCUGGUGUGUCAGCCAAUCCUCCCAGCUUUGUAUCAUCAGCAAAUUUGCUGAGGGUGCACUCUAUUUCUUCAUCCAGGUCAUUGAUGAAGAUGUUAAUUAGUUCUUAAUUCUUUAUUUGGCUAGAUAUUCCUUUUUUUUUUUUUUUCAAAUUAUUGCUAUGGUUUGAUAUGAAGCACAGUAUGUUAUUUGCAGCAGUGUAUAUGUGUAUGAACGCGAUGUAUUUUACAGGAACAGUGUUUAAAAAAAAAAAAAAAAAAACGUUAUGCUGCGAAGUCAAGGAUUCCAGAUAAGGAAAGAACAGACUAAGACUUGAGAAAUAAACACAGUCCAGCCCCCUUUUCCAUACACUGGGCCUUAACAUUAUUUUUUCCCCCUUACCCUUAUGGUCACAAUUCAGUGCCUCAUACAGUGCAUGGGAAAUAUCAGCUGACUAGUAUACUGCUACAACGUAGUUUAUCUAUUUGUUUUUCUUUGUCAUUCAUUGUGCAGCCUGCUGCUUUAUCUGCUGUAUAGCAUCCAAAUAUUUCAGUUAAUGUUGAAUUGUUUUCGUCUAUUAAUUUGUAGAAAUUAUCAUCAUAAUACAUAUUUGUGCUUCGCGAACAUUAGAUAACGUUUCUUUAGCAUAUCAGUAAAAUAUUAUUUCCAUUUUACAUAUGGAAGACUGAAACUGAGUCAAAAUUGUGAGUUUAGAAAGUGAAUAAAUCUUGUGUGUCAUUUGAUGUGCUUUAUUCUUGAGAUUUUUUUUUUUAGUUACUUUAUAGCAUGUAAUGAGUUCAUAACAUUAUUUUCUUUUGAUUUUAUUUGUGGAUGUGAGUGGCUUGCACUUCAACAUAUCAGACCCGUUGUUUCCCAUGCUGCAUCCCUAAGUAUAGAAUGGGUUUUCACUGAUGACCUUUUCAGUUUCAACUGUCCUGAUCAUUCCAAGAGCUGAACAAAAAUAGAUUUCCUGUCCUGAAAAAUUAAAAAGAAUCUCCCUCUAUAAUGUGAAGAAACCAAAAUAUCUUCAGUGAGAUCUGAGACGCUAACUAGAUAAAUAACCAAAAACCUUCAAGUGAUUAAAUGGCUUGUCUGCAACAUUGGAAAUGUUCAAAAUGCUACUUUCCACAGUUACUAGCUCCUGAUCAAAUGUCCUAAGGAUUGGCUGUUAAGGAUGAAACUCUGCCUCUUAAAGUGGUAAUUAUUGUAGUUCAUGUAAAUUGGUUGAAUGGAUACCUCUGCAUCAGACCAUUUCAUUGCAAUGUCAGUCUGUUGUCCAAUUAAUAUUUGUGCUAAAUUUUAUGACUAUGAACAGAGAUAUUCUUUAGCCCACUCUGGGUAUAUUAUAGAACAGAUAGAACAAGGUUCCAGAAGAUGAUCUCUUGGAUGGGAUUUUUUAAAAUGGUUUUUACUAAGAAAUCUGAAGAACAUACUGUUAAUAAAGCGUAACAUCCCACAGAAAUAAGCUCUUCUUGCUAUGUAACUAAUUUGUUUCAUGACUAUCAUCUGUCAUGUACUAUGAAUAAAGCAGGGAAUUACUGAUUUUAUGUAGCAAAAUCAGUAUAUGAUCAUUUAAUGAAAGACUAUCAUAAUGCCCAAGGGACUGAAUUAUAGGUGCAAGCAACCUUAGUUUUGACAUUUAAUACUUUACUUCUGACCUUCUCUUUUUUUUAAUAAUGUAAUUUAUGAGACUCCUUGAAUGUUAUGUUAGCGUGUGCCUGUGACAGUGUAACCUCUGUCUCUUAUGUCUAAGCUAACAAUUAUCUCUUUUGUGUUGACUAGAUACUCAGAAAUGAUGUUUUCAAAUAGUUUCUCUGAAAUUUUAUUUUCAGAUCUUGGAUUACAGUAGACUGUCCUACUUUUUGCAUGUUGUCUUCCAUUCAGAUAUGUUGCUUUCUCUUUCUUCAGAGAUACUUUCUCAAUAUGGGGGGAGGAAUUCAGAGAGCUCUCAUCAGAUGCUAUGUACAGUAACUUCCUUAGUACCUGUUGGAAAAAUAAGCUAAAACAUGUUUUGUUUUUUUGGUCUAAAAUUUGAGAAAAUUUUGGUAAGACACUGUCAUGGUUUUGGCUGGGAUAGAGUUAAUUUUCUUUCAAGAGGUUUGUAUGAUCUUGUGUUCUGGAUUUUUGAUGAAAAUAGCGGUGAUAACACACCAAUGUUUUUAGUUGUUACAGAGUAGUGCUUAUGCAGUCAAGGAUUUUUUUUUCUACUGCUCAUGCAGUCCUGUCAGCAAGGAGGCUGGAGGGUACACAAGCGGUUGGGAGGGGACACAGCCAGGACAGCUGAUGCAGACUUGAUCAAAGUAAUAUUCCAUACAAUGUGAUGUGAUGUUCAGCAAUAAAAGCUGGGAGGAAGGAGGAGGAAGGGGGGGGAUGUUUGGAAUGAUGUUGUUUAUCUUCCCAAGAAACAGUUAUGUGCGAUGAGCCCUACUUUCCUGGAAGUGGCCUCUUGAUGCGAAACAGUGAAUGAAUUCCCUGUUUUGCUUUGCUUGCAGGUGUGGCUUUUGCUUUACCUAGUAAACUGUCGUUAUCUCAGCCCAUGAGUUCUUGCACUUCUACCUUCCCAAUUUUCUCCCCUAUCCCACCUGUAGUGAGUGAGCAAGAGGCUGUGUGGUACUUAGCUAUCUGCUGGGAUUAAACCACAACAGACUCUCUUAGAACUGUAGUAAGAACACAUGGAGAGUGCUUUGUAGAGAUAUAAAAUCAGUUUCAUGUUUAUUUUGUCUGAAUGGAAAAUUAAAAAUCUGCCUAAUUAUUUUGUUUGUUACAUUUCUUGUUCAAAGUAAGGAGACAUGAUUGCUCAGGGAUGAUUGGUUCUUUCUGGCAGUUUUAAAGAAAACUCAUGUUGAGAAAUGACCUCUAACAUAAUUGGAAGUUAUUUUUUUUAAAGUAUGUUGCUCCCUACUUAGAUUGUAUAGAUGAAGAGUGGUAGUGACUCCUCUUGGUUUUCUAAUGCUAUUAAAAGACACUGUUUUUUUGUUUUUUUUUUUACUUCUGAAAUUGUUAUAUUUGAGUCAUUUGGGCUGAAAUUUUCCAUGCUGGGUGAUUGCCCUUUAGUUGCUAACUCUUUUAAUAAAGCUUAAAAGCCAAAAGGUUUAAUUGGCUCUUAAGGGUCAGGCUAGAGGAAGAAAAAAGUUCAAAAAUAAUUUCUGACCUUCAAGUAAUUUGAACAUCUGCAUUGUUUGGGAGAGGACUUCAAAACUUAAAUGAGGUAACUUUUGCAGUAUUUUGUUGCCAUUUGAAAGUGUGUUUAAAGAAAUAAAUUGAGCAAGUUACUGGUGAAUGAAAUGAUCUAGCUUCUUGUAUAGGUGUUGAAGUUGAAAAAUGUUGUAUAUGCAAUAGGACUUUCCAAGUAAGUACAGUUCUAAGUAGUGAGAUGUAGUAUGGACUCUUCUGGUGGCCAUUCACUACUUAUAUGCAAUGUUGAUUUGUUCAAAUGUGAAAAAGACAAGAACUGAGGUUGCAGGUGUUUGGAAGGGUAAACACGUUGAAGAGUGGUGGGUUGCAACUAAGCUUACAAGGAUGAGAAAGGAAUGGAAGUUUGAAGGGCAAGAACUUUGGAGGAAGGUGAAAGAUUGGAGUUCCUAAGGAAGUGAUGGGACUGGAUAAAGGAGCUGGUAGGACUGUAAACAGUUUUGGGCCUGUUCGGCCUGGUUCUGUGGGUAAUUGGGGCAGAGGGACCCACACCCCAGGAGAGGGGGAAGAGGAAAAAGGUAGGGAGAUGGGCCUAAAAACAAAACAGUGGCAGCGAGCUAAGGGAGAAAGCUAAUUUACUAAAUAUGAUAGCAGAAUGCAAGAUAACCCAAUAUAAUACAAUAUAAUUGGAAUUCAAGCUAGUAAACAAAAUGAGAGACAGGGUGUCCAAAACUGAAGGCUUUACUCUAAUGCUAAAGGCGAGAUGGCUGGGGAAUACACGCCGCAGAGAUGAGCAGUGAAAGAAGGGGCAAUCUCAUGACUUGCAAGCAGUUUUAGCUUUCCCUCUAAACAGAAAAAGGAAAUAGAACAGUGAAAGUCUUCUGGGAAAUGUAGUUCUCUUCUGAGAACCAGGUACCCGGAAAUAUCAACAGUCCAUGGAAGUGGAGCAUUAACUCUUUAACUCUCAGUGCUUUAUAUGAUGUUAUGAUGUGGAAUACUGAUAACAAAAAUCAUAAAACCAUGACAUAAGACAGAUACAGUUGUCCUUAGUGAAGAUACUGGAAGAGCUAUGAAAUAGCUUUAGCAUGAAACAGGGACAAAAGGAUACUCUAAAAUUGGGUGUGCAAAGGAAACUGUUUAGGGACAAGAGUGGGUGGAAGUCUGUACUGAGAGGGGCCAGAAAAGGAAGGAGGAACAAAUUGUUGGAAAAGCCAGAACUACAAAACAAGUGUUGACUGGGCAAAUAAGCAUUUUUUCACAUCUAGGAAUAUGUGGAGUUCUUAUUGUAAGAGGAAAUAGUAAGGAAUUGUGUAGUUCAGAUUCUGUGUAGUCUGCAUUUCAUCUUUGUGAAAGCACUGUAGUAGUCUUUAAGUCUGUUGUCAC
rnacentral:lncRNA from 1 species